rnacentral:RNase_P_RNA from 1 species
GCAGUGAGGGAGUCUGUCGCUUUAUGCCGGGAGCAUAAAGAGGAAAGUCCGGGCAACACAGAGCAGCAUGCUUUUUAACGGAAAGUCGUCGGUGACGGCGAGGCAAGUGUGACAGAAAAUAACCGCCAUAUACUUACGGUGUAUGGUAAGGGUGAAAAGGCGAGGUAAGAGCUCACCGCUCCACGGGUGAUCGUCGGAGGCUGCACAUCCCAUGUGUUGCAAGGCCAAGUAUACCGGUAGUUAAGGAUGGCUCGUCCAUUGCCGGGGGGUAGGCUGCUAAAGUCUGCGGGUGACCGUAUGACGCAGAUAAAUGACGGACCUCGAGUCUUACGACUUGAGACAUAACCCGGCUUAUACCCUCGCUGCAUAA